AUAUUUUUUUUUUCUUUUAGAGUCCACUAGCACUGAAAAAGAGCAUUGUUUUUCAUCAUGGAUGCCACUAAAGAUGAGCGACCAAAGUUGAGAAGCCACAGUUUUCACCUUUUUCAUGCUUUCAUGAUGCUAAGUAUGACUGUGCUAUUUCUUCCAGUCAUUGGAACUUCUAAACAAAAUAUUCCACGACUCAAGCUAAGCUACAAAGGUAAAUAUGUAAAUAUUUUUACAUUCUUCAUUAAU
rnacentral:lncRNA from 1 species